rnacentral:rRNA from 1 species
UACGUAGGGUGCGAGCGUUGUCCGGAAUUAUUGGGCGUAAAGAGCUCGUAGGCGGUGUGUCACGUCGGCCGUGAAACCUGCAGCUUAACUGUGGGCGUGCGGUCGAUACGGGCAUCACUGGAGUUCGGCAGGGGAGACUGGAAUUCCUGGUGUAGCGGUGGAAUGCGCAGAUAUCAGGAGGAACACCGAUGGCGAAGGCAGGUCUCUGGGCCGUAACUGACGCUGAGGAGCGAAAGCGUGGGAGCGAACAGG